AACGAACGCUGGCGGCAUGCCUAACACAUGCAAGUCGAACGAGACCUUCGGGUCUAGUGGCGCACGGGUGCGUAACGCGUGGGAACCUGCCCUUAGGUUCGGAAUAACUCCCCGAAAGGGGUGCUAAUACCGGAUAAUGUCUUCGGACCAAAGAUUUAUCGCCUUUGGAUGGGCCCGCGUUGGAUUAGCUAGUUGGUAGGGUAAAAGCCUACCAAGGCGACGAGCCAUAGCUGGUCUGAGAGGAUGAUCAGCCACACUGGGACUGAGACACGGCCCAGACUCCUACGGGAGGCAGCAGUGGGGAAUAUUGCACAAUGGGCGAAAGCCUGAUCCAGCAAUGCCGCGUGAGUGAUGAAGGCCUUAGGGUUGUAAAGCUCUUUUACCCGGGAUGAUAAUGACAGUACCGGGAGAAUAAGCUCCGGCUAACUCCGUG
rnacentral:rRNA from 1 species